rnacentral:rRNA from 1 species
UUAAAACUCAAAUUGAAUUUGACGGGGGCCCCGCACAAGCGGUGGAGCAUGUGGUUUAAUUCGAUGCAACGCGAAGAACCUUACCUACUCUUGACAUCCAGAGAACUUUCCAGAGAUGGAUUGGUGCCUUCGGGAACUCUGAGACAGGUGCUGCAUGGCUGUCGUCAGCUCGUGUUGUGAAAUGUUGGGUUAAGUCCCGCAACGAGCGCAACCCUUAUCCUUGUUUGCCAGCACUUCGGGUGGGAACUCCAGGGAGACUGCCGGUGAUAAACCGGAGGAAGGUGGGGACGACGUCAAGUCAUCAUGGCCCUUACGAGUAGGGCUACACACGUGCUACAAUGGCGUAUACAGAGGGCGGCAAGCUAGCGAUAGUGAGCGAAUCCCACAAAGUACGUCGUAGUCCGGAUUGGAGUCUGCAACUCGACUCCAUGAAGUCGGAAUCGCUAGUAAUCGUGGAUCAGAAUGCCACGGUGAAUACGUUCCCGGGCCUUGUACACACCGCCCGUCACACCAUGGGAGUGGGCUGCACCAGAAGUAGAUAGCUUAACCUUCGGGAGGGCGUUUACCACGGUGUGGUUCAUGAAUGGGGUGAAGUCGUAACAAGGUAACCGUA